rnacentral:RNase_MRP_RNA from 2 species
CUCUCGCUCAAAAAAUCGCAGUCGAAGCUCACACACCGACAGCACCUCGUGUGCUCGUCUACCCACACACAGCUUUGGGAGAAAGUCCCCGGACGCCUUGCACUUGCUGCAAGUUAGCGGAAACGCGCCGCCACAGAAGCAUCUUGCGGCUCAUCCCCUCGAGACCUCCAUCCUCCUUCAUCACCCUCUAUCGUACGCACUCUUGCACGGAAGCGCCAUGGCUCGGAUCGCACCUGGUCUGGAGACACGUCGCUUUCGGGCGGCGGCUCGGCAACGAGAGACGAUGAUAUGAGUCUGCUUUCCUGGUCAGCCGGUCUUGCUGCUUUGGCGCUGAAGGGCAGGAGGAGAUAGUGGGAUCACUGGUGGGGACAAGUUGGGCUCAAGGUCAAGAGGCGGAGUUCAUCGUCGUGGUCAACAGUUAUGCGAUUGCUCGCAUCUUUCACCUCUCCUCUGAAACUCUUCUUGGUCUGGUGCUGGAUCGCGAGUAACUCGAUGGGGCUUAUUCUUGGUGCGAGA